UGGAUGGAUGGAUGGAUGUUAGCGAGAUGCUAUCAGGUGUGGAUGGAUGUUAGUGAGAUGCUAUCAGGUGUGGAUGGAUGGAUGGAUGUUAGUGAGAUGCUAUCAGGUGUGGAUGGAUGUUAGCGAGAUGCUAUCAGGUGUGGAUGGAUGGAUGGAUGUUAGUGAGAUGCUAUCAGGUGUGGAUGGAUGGAUGGAUGUUAGUGAGAUGCUAUCAGGUGUGGAUGGAUGGAUGGAUGUUAGCGAGAUGCUAUCAGGUGUGGAUGGAUGUUAGUGAGAUGCUAUCAGGUGUGGAUGGAUGGAUGGAUGUUAGCGAGAUGCUAUCAGGUGUGGAUGGAUGGAUGGAUGUUAGCGAGAUGCUAUCAGGUGUGGAUGGAUGGAUGUUAGCGAGAUGCUAUCAGGUGUGGAUGGAUGGAUGGAUGUUAGCGAGAUGCUAUCAGGUGUGGAUGGAUGGAUGUUAGCGAGAUGCUAUCAGGUGUGGAUGGAUGGAUGUUAGCGAGAUGCUAUCAGGUGUGGAUGGAUGUUAGCGAGAUGCUAUCAGGUGUGGAUGGAUGGAUGUUAGCGAGAUGCUAUCAGGUGUGGAUGGAUGUUAGCGAGAUGCUAUCAGGUGUGGAUGGAUGGAUGUUAGCGAGAUGCUAUCAGGUGUGUGUGGAUGGAUGUUAGUGAGAUGCUAUCAGGUGUG
ensembl:lncRNA